rnacentral:rRNA from 1 species
UACGGGGGGGGUAAGCGUUGUUCGGAAUUACUGGGCGUAAAGGGCUCGUAGGCGGCCAACUAAGUCGGACGUGAAAUCCCUCAGCUUAACUGGGGAACUGCGUCCGAUACUGGAUGGCUUGGAUUUGGGAGAGGGAUGCGGAAUUCCAGGUGUAGCGGUGAAAUGCGUAGAUAUCAGGAGGAAUACCGAUGGCGAAGGCAGGUCUCUGGGCUGACACUGACGCUCAUGCACGAAAGCGUGGGGAGCAAACAGG